GACGAACGCUGGCGGCGUGCUUAACACAUGCAAGUCGAACGGUAAGGCCCUUCGGGGUACACGAGUGGCGAACGGGUGAGUAACACGUGGGUGAUCUGCCCUGCACUUCGGGAUAAGCCUGGGAAACUGGGUCUAAUACCGGAUAGGACCACUGCCUGCAUGGGUGGUGGUGGAAAGCUUUUGCGGUGUGGGAUGGGCCCGCGGCCUAUCAGCUUGUUGGUGGGGUGAUGGCCUACCAAGGCGACGACGGGUAGCCGGCCUGAGAGGGUGACCGGCCACACUGGGACUGAGAGACUGCCCAGACUCGUACGGGGGGCGGCAGUGGGGAAUAUUGCACAAUGGGCGCAAGCCUGAUGCAGCGACGCCGCGUGAGGGAUGACGGCCUUCGGGUUGUAAACCUCUUUCAGCACCGACGAAGCGCAAGUGACGGUAGGUGCAGAAGAAGGACCGGCCAACUACGUGCCAGCAGCCGCGGUAA
rnacentral:rRNA from 1 species